CCACCCCCUUCUUCCAUCCAAUCACCGUCCCUCCCUCCGGGGGCUGGGCGGACGGGCUGCGCUCCAAGCUGCUAGCUCCCGCACUAGGCUCUCAGCCAGGGACGAUGCGCCGCUGCCACUGCCGCUGCUGCCGCCGCCGCUGCUGCCGCCGCCGCUGCUGCUGGCAACCACCCCGUGCCCUGAGGCCGUUGCUGUUGCUGCCCCUCGUCCUUGUACCUCGCCUGGCAGCAGCUGCAGCGGGCCCAAACCGCUGUGACACCAUAUACCAGGGCUUCGCCGAGUGUCUCAUCCGCUUGGGGGACGGCAUGGGCCGCGGAGGCGAGCUGGAGACCAUCUGCAGAUCUUGGAAUGACUUCCAUGCCUGUGCCUCUCGGGUCCUGUUGGGCUGUCCGGAGGAGGCAGCUGCAGUGUGGGAAUCACUACAGCAAGAAGCUCGCCGGGCCCCCCAUCCGAAUAACUUGCACACUCUGUGCAGUGCCCCGGUGCAUGUUCGGGAGCGCGGUACAGGCUCCGAAACCAACCAGGAGACACUGCCAGCUGCAGCACUUGCACUCCCCAUGGCCCCUGCGCCCCCACUGCUGGCGGCUGCUCUGGCUCUGACCUACCUCCUGGGGCCUCUGGCCUAGCCUAUCAGGUCAGGUGGCAGUGCCUGUGCCUCCAGCCCUGCCCUGGCGGUGGUUGUCCAGGCUCUGCAGAGCGCAGCAGGGCUUUUCAUUAAAGAUGGAGUCUCGCUGUGUCG